UCUUAUGGAUGAACAAGGAAAGUGGUUUUUUGAGAUGGAAACUACUCCUGGGGGAAGAUGCUAUGAA
rnacentral:pre_miRNA from 1 species